UACGUAGGGUGCGAGCGUUAAUCGGAAUUACUGGGCGUAAAGAGUGCGUAGGCGGUUCCGCAAGUCCGCUGUGAAAGCCCCGGGCUCAACCUGGGAAUUGCGAUGGAGACUGCAAGGCUUGAAUCUGGCAGAGGGGGGUAGAAUUCCACGUGUAGCAGUGAAAUGCGUAGAGAUGUGGAGGAACACCGAUGGCGAAGGCAGCCCCCUGGGUCAAGAUUGACGCUCAUGCACGAAAGCGUGGGGAGCAAACAGG
rnacentral:rRNA from 1 species